GAUGGUAUAGCUCAGUGGUAGAGCAUCUGCUUAGCAAGCAUGAGUUCCUGGAUUAGAUCCCCAGUACUUCUG
rnacentral:tRNA from 1 species